rnacentral:rRNA from 1 species
AGGUACAGUGGUAGGGGAGCGUUCGAAGUGCCGUGAAGUCAGACCGGAAGGACUGGUGGAGCGCUUUGAAGUGAGAAUGCCGGUAUGAGUAGCGAAAGACAAGUGAGAAUCUUGUCCAUCGAAAGCCUAAGGUUUCCUGAGGAAGGCUCGUCCGCUCAGGGUUAGUCGGGACCUAAGCCGAGGCCGAAAGGCGUAGGCGAUGGCCAACAGGUUGAAAUUCCUGUACCACCUCCUUUCCGUUUGAACGACGGGGGGACGCAGGAAGGUAGGGAGAGCGCGCGAAUGGAAAUGCGCGUCUAAGCAGUUAGGCUGAUUGUGAGGCAAAUCCCGCAAUC